GCCUUGUCCACCCCAAUCUUCAUCAGUCAUGUGACACAGCGCGAAUCUACUGCGGAAAAAAAACUCCUUCAGAAACUACGAUACUACGACAGCGAAGGCAACCCAACCAUUUCCUACAAGGAGACAGUGUUUAGGAUUUUUAGAAGACGCAAGAACCAUUUCUGGGAUCAGAGAAGAGAAACCACUGAAACUGUAAUCAACAACGAAAACACUGGCGACAACUUAAACGGCAACAGCAACAACUACAGCAGACGGCCCAACAUGUCCAUUCGAAAGAUUUUUGGCAUUUUCCUCUUCAUAUUCCCAAAGUUGUUUUCCACAUACCGUCAUAUCUAAUACACCAGCUUGUGCUUUUUGUAGAAUUUCUGUCCUCUGGAAUUUGUUUCUGUCCAUCCUUCUAUUAGGACUUGCAUACGUGAUUCCAACCCUGAGCUGCAGCUUUCUGGAUUUGGGAGUCCCAUAUUCACCAGUGUCACCCACCUACAUUAAUAUGGAGUUGAAUGUGGGAAAUGAAGACCAGAUGAAGCACCUGAGAAACAUGGAGGAAGAGUUGCUGAGGCUGCAAAAACAUGUGAACAACCUGAGAAAGAUGGAGGAAGAGUUGCUGAGGCUGCAAAAACAAAUGAACGACCUAUCACCGGAUGUGGACGCUUGGCCCGACUUUGUUCUUCAGAGUCCUUUUCAGUUUAUGGAAGUAUCAGAUGUUACAUUGUCAGACUGCAGACAUCCUAUGUGCCUCCAUGGGAAGCUGGCAGAGUAAAGAUGGAAAUGAAUAGAAGGUUAGUAUAUGAGGUAAGUAUUUGUAAAGGUGAAUCAGACUCCAAACAUAUGUGGUUAAUUGGCUUAAUUAAACUUUGUGCUUUGGGAUUUGCAGUCCUGAAAACAGCAGCAAAUGUUUGUGUUGAUUUAGUGUCAUUGGGUGUGAUUGGGCGGAUGUUUGGGUGGGUGGGUAUGGUGAAGUGUGGUGAUACUCCAUACUUCAUCAUGCUUCUUCCCAGUGAACCUGCCGCCUGAACAGAAGCUGUUGGAGGCUCCAUGUGGAUCAGAGGAGACACUUGGCUGUCUGCACAGCAGACUGGAUGGAUCGGACAUUUGCUGCUAUUUUCUUUCACUCCAAAUUCACACACAAAACACAAUGCGUCAUCUCUUCCGUGUUCCCAGAUGUUUCAGUCUAAUUCACCUAUACCUCUUUUCGGGUUUUCUCCGGGUACUCCGGUUCGCCCACACUUAUUAUGCUUACCUUAAAAAAAAAAAAAAAAAAACAAAAAAAAAAAAACAGGUUUUUGUUGUACAGAGACAGAAACCUCUGAUUCCAGGACGUUGCUAGGCUUUUGCAGGUGGGCGUGGACAUUUAUUCAUGGCCUUGUCCACCCCAAUCUUCAUCAGUCAUGUGACACAGCGCGAAUCUACUGCGGAAAAAAAACUCCUUCAGAAACUACGAUACUACGACAGCGAAGGCAACCCAACCAUUUCCUACAAGGAGACAGUGUUUAGGAUUUUUAGAAGACGCAAGAACCAUUUCUGGGAUCAGAGAAGAGAAACCACUGAAACUGUAAUCAACAACGAAAACACUGGCGACAGCUUAAACGGCAACAGCAACAACUACAGCAGACGGCCCAACAUGUCCAUUCGAAAGAUUUUUGACAUUUUCCUCUUCAUAUUCCCAAAGUUGUUUUCCACAUACCGUCAUAUCUAAUACACCAGCUUGUGCUUUUUGUAGAAUUUCUGUCCUCUGGAAUUUGUUUCUGUCCAUCCUUCUAUUAGGACUUGCAUACGUGAUUCCAACCCUGUGCUGCAGCUUUCUGGAUUUGGGAGUCCCAUAUUCACCAGUGUCACCCACCUACAUUAAUAUGGAGUUGAAUGUGGGAAAUGAAGACCAGAUGAAGCACCUGAGAAACAUGGAGGAAGAGUUGCUGAGGCUGCAAAAACAUGUGAAGCACCUGAGAAACAUGGAGGAAGAGUUGCUGAGGCUGCAAAAACAUGUGACGCACCUGAGAAACAUGGAGGAAGAGUUGCUGAGGCUGAUAAAACAAAUGAACGACCUAUCACCGGAUGUGGACGCUUGGCCCGACUUUGUUCUUCAGGACUUGCAUACGUGAUUCCAACCCUGAGCUGCAGCUUUCUGGAUUUGGGAGUCCCAUAUUCACCAGUGUCACCCACCUACAUUAAUAUGGAGUUGAAUGUGGGAAAUGAAGACCAGAUGAAGCACCUGAGAAACAUGGAGGAAGAGUUGCUGAGGCUGAAAAAACAAAUGAACGACCUAUCACCGGAUGUGGACGCUUGGCCCGACUUUGUUCUUCAGAGUCCUUUUCAGUUUAUGGAAGUAUCAGAUGUUACAUUGUCAGACUGCAGACAUCCUAUGUGCCUCCAUGGGAAGCUGGCAGAGUAAAGAUGGAAAUGAAUAGAAGGUUAGUAUAUGAGGUAAGUAUUUGUAAAGGUGAAUCAGACUCCAAACAUAUGUGGUUAAUUGGCUUAAUUAAACUUUGUGCUUUGGGAUUUGCAGUCCUGAAAACAGCAGCAAAUGUUUGUGUUGAUUUAGUGUCAUUGGGUGUGAUUGGGCGGAUGUUUGGGUGGGUGGGUAUGGUGAAGUGUGGUGAUACUCCAUACUUCAUCAUGCUUCUUCCCAGUGAACCUGCCGCCUGAACAGAAGCUGUUGGAGGCUCCAUGUGGAUCAGAGGAGACACUUGGCUGUCUGCACAGCAGACUGGAUGGAUCGGACAUUUGCUGCUAUUUUCUUUCACUCCAAAUUCACACACAAAACACAAUGCGUCAUCUCUUCCGUGUUCCCAGAUGUUUUCAGUCUAAUUCACCUAUACCUCUUUUUGGGUUUUCUCCGGGUACUCCGGUUCGCCCACACUUAUUAUGCUUACCUUAAAAAAAACAAAAAAAAAAAACAGGUUUUUGUUGUACAGAGACAGAAACCUCUGAUUCCAGGACGUUGCUAGGCUUUUGCAGGUGGGCGUGGACAUUUAUUCAUGGCCUUGUCCAACCCAAUCUUCAUCAGUCAUGUGACACAGCGCGAAUCUACUGCGGAAAAAAAACUCCUUCAGAAACUACGAUACUACGACAGCGAAGGCAACCCAACCAUUUCCUACAAGGAGACAGUGUUUAGGAUUUUUAGAAGACGCAAGAACCAUUUCUGGGAUCAGAGAAGAGAAACCACUGAAACUGUAAUCAACAACGAAAACACUGGCGACAACUUAAACGGCAACAGCAACAACUACAGCAGACGGCCCAACAUGUUCAUUCGAAAGAUUUUUGACAUUUUCCUCUUCAUAUUCCCAAAGUUGUUUUCCACAUACCGUCAUAUCUAAUACACCAGCUUGUGCUUUUUGUAGAAUUUCUGUGCUCUGAAAUUUGUUUCUGUCCAUCCUUCUAUUAGGACUUGCAUACGUGAUUCCAACCCUGAGCUGCAGCUUUCUGGAUUUGGGAGUCCCAUAUUCACCAGUGUCACCCACCUACAUUAGUAUGGAGUUGAAUGUGGGAAAUGAAGACCAGAUGAAGCACCUGAGAAACAUGGAGGAAGAGUUGCUGAGGCUGCAAAAACAUGUGAACGACCUGAGAAACAUGGAGGAAGAGUUGCUGAGGCUGCAAAAACAAAUGAACGACCUAUCACCGGAUGUGGACGCUUGGCCCGACUUUGUUCUUCAGGACUUGCAUACGUGAUUCCAACCCUGAGCUGCAGCUUUCUGGAUUUGGGAGUCCCAUAUUCACCAGUGUCACCCACCUACAUUAAUAUGGAGUUGAAUGUGGGAAAUGAAGACCAGAUGAAGCACCUGAGAAACAUGGAGGAAGAGUUGCUGAGGCUGAAAAAACAAAUGAACGACCUAUCACCGGAUGUGGACGCUUGGCCCGACUUUGUUCUUCAGAGUCCUUUUCAGUUUAUGGAAGUAUCAGAUGUUACAUUGUCAGACUGCAGACAUCCUAUGUGCCUCCAUGGGAAGCUGGCAGAGUAAAGAUGGAAAUGAAUAGAAGGUUAGUAUAUGAGGUAAGUAUUUGUAAAGGUGAAUCAGACUCCAAACAUAUGUGGUUAAUUGGCUUAAUUAAACUUUGUGCUUUGGGAUUUGCAGUCCUGAAAACAGCAGCAAAUGUUUGUGUUGAUUUAGUGUCAUUGGGUGUGAUUGGGCGGAUGUUUGGGUGGGUGGGUAUGGUGAAGUGUGGUGAUACUCCAUACUUCAUCAUGCUUCUUCCCAGUGAACCUGCCGCCUGAACAGAAGCUGUUGGAGGCUCCAUGUGGAUCAGAGGAGACACUUGGCUGUCUGCACAGCAGACUGGAUGGAUCGGACAUUUGCUGCUAUUUUCUUUCACUCCAAAUUCACACACAAAACACAAUGCGUCAUCUCUUCCGUGUUCCCAGAUGUUUUCAGUCUAAUUCACAUUAUACCUCUUUUUGGGUUUUCUCCGGGUACUCCGGUUCGCCCACACUUAUUAUGCUUACCUUAAAAAAAAAAAAAAAAAAAAAAAAAAACAGGUUUUUGUU